rnacentral:rRNA from 1 species
UACGUAGGGGGCAAGCGUUGUCCGGAUUUAUUGGGCGUAAAGAGCGUGUAGGCGGCUAUACAGGUCCGCUGUGAAAACUCGAGGCUCAACCUCGAGACGUCGGCGGAAACCGUAUGGCUAGAGUCCGGAAGAGGGGAGUGGAAUUCCUGGUGUAGCGGUGAAAUGCGCAGAUAUCAGGAAGAACACCCGUGGCGAAGGCGGCUCUCUGGGACGGUACUGACGCUGAGACGCGAAAGCGUGGGGAGCGAACAGG